AUACGGAGGGGGCAAGCGUUGUUCGGAAUUACUGGGCGUAAAGGGCGCGUAGGCGGAUUAUCAAGUCAGAGGUGAAAGCCCUGGGCUCAACCUGGGGACUGCCUUUGAAACUGAUAGUCUAGAGACCGGGAGAGGAUGGCGGAAUUCCCAGUGUAGAGGUGAAAUUCGUAGAUAUUGGGAAGAACACCGGUGGCGAAGGCGGCCAUCUGGUCCGGUUCUGACGCUGAGGCGCGAAAGCGUGGGGAGCAAACAGGAGUAGAUACCCCAGUAGUCC
rnacentral:rRNA from 1 species